rnacentral:tRNA from 1 species
UGCGGAUUAGCUCAGCUGGAAGAGCUGCUGCCUCUGAAGCAGCGUGUCGCAGGUUCGAGCCCUGCAUCCGUAG